rnacentral:rRNA from 1 species
AGUGGACGCUGGCGGUAGGCCUAACACAUGCAAGUCGAACGGCAGCACAGUAAGAGCUUGCUCUUACGGGUGGCGAGUGGCGGACGGGUGAGGAAUACAUCGGAAUCUACUUUUUCGUGGGGGAUAACGUAGGGAAACUUACGCUAAUACCGCAUACGACCUACGGGUGAAGGCAGGGGAUCUUCGGACCUUGCGCGAUUGAAUUAGCCGAUGUCGGAUUAGCUAGUUGGCGGGGUAAAGGCCCACCAAGGCGACGAUCCGUAGCUGGUCUGAGAGGAUGAUCAGCCACACUGGAACUGAGACACGGUCCAGACUCCUACGGGAGGCAGCAGUGGGGAAUAUUGGACAAUGGGCGCAAGCCUGAUCCAGCCAUACCGCGUGGGUGAAGAAGGCCUUCGGGUUGUAAAGCCCUUUUGUUGGGAAAGAAAAGCAGCAGGUUAAUACCCCGCUGUUCUGACGGUACCCAAAGAAUAAGCACCGGCUAACUUCGUG